ensembl:misc_RNA Metazoa_SRP Metazoan signal recognition particle RNA
GCCGGGCACAGUGGCGAGUGCCUGUAAUCCCAGCUACUCAGGAGGCUGAGGCAGGAGAAUUGCUUGAACCCGGGAGGUGGAGGUUGCCGUGAGCAGAGAUCACGCCACUGCACUCCAGCCUGGGUGACAGAGUGAGAUUCCGUCUCAA